ACACGGAGCUUGCUCUGUGGGAUCAGUGGCGAACGGGUGAGUAACACGUGAGCAACCUGCCCCUGACUCUGGGAUAAGCGCUGGAAACGGCGUCUAAUACUGGAUACGAGUAGCGAUCGCAUGGUCAGCUACUGGAAAGAUUUAUUGGUUGGGGAUGGGCUCGCGGCCUAUCAGCUUGUUGGUGAGGUAAUGGCUCACCAAGGCGUCGACGGGUAGCCGGCCUGAGAGGGUGACCGGCCACACUGGGACUGAGACACGGCCCAGACUCCUACGGGAGGCAGCAGUGGGGAAUAUUGCACAAUGGGCGCAAGCCUGAUGCAGCAACGCCGCGUGAGGGAUGACGGCCUUCGGGUUGUAAACCUCUUUUAGCAGGGAAGAAGCGAAAGUGACGGUACCUGCAGAAAAAGCGCCGGCUAACUACGUGCCAGCAGCCGCGGUAAUACGUAGGGCGCAAGCGUUAUCCGGAAUUAUUGGGCGUAAAGAGCUCGUAGGCGGUUUGUCGCGUCUGCUGUGAAAUCCGGAGGCUCAACCUCCGGCCUGCAGUGGGUACGGGCAGACUAGAGUGCGGUAGGGGAGAUUGGAAUUCCUGGUGUAGCGGUGGAAUGCGCAGAUAUCAGGAGGAACACCGAUGGCGAAGGCAGAUCUCUGGGCCGUAACUGACGCUGAGGAGCGAAAGGGUGGGGAGCAAACAGGCUUAGAUACCCUGGUAGUCCACCCCGUAAACGUUGGGAACUAGUUGU
rnacentral:rRNA from 1 species